CCGCGAUGAAUCCGUUCCCGGGCCUUGUACACACCGCCCGUCAAGCCAUGGAAGCUGAGAGCACCCGAAGUCCGUGACUCAACUCUGGCGUUAGCCGGAGGGAGAGCGGCCGAAGGUGAGCUCAGUGACUGGGGCUAAGUCGUAACAAGGUAGCCGUAGGGGAACCUGCGGCUGGAUCACCUCCUAA
rnacentral:rRNA from 1 species